GACGAACGCUGGCGGCGUGCCUAAUACAUGCAAGUAGGACGCAGUUGCGAACGGGUGAGUAACGCGUAGGUAACUACCUAUUAGAGGGGGAUAACUAUUGGAAACGAUAGCUAAUACCGCAUACUCGUAGAUGGACCUGCGUUGUAUUAGCUAGUAGGUAGGGUAAUGGCCUACCUAGGCAACGAUACAUAGCCGACGUGUGUGGGUGAUCGGCAAAACUGGGACUGAGGCACGGCCCAGACGCCUAAGGGAGGCAGCAGUAGGGAAACUUCGGCGAAGGGGGGAACCCUGACCGAGCAAAGCCGCGUGAGUGAAGAAGGUGUUCGGGUGGUAAAGCUCUGUUGUUAAGGAAGCGGUACUUAACCAGAAAGGGACGGCUAACUACGUGCCAGCAGCCGCGGUAAUAC
rnacentral:rRNA from 1 species